rnacentral:rRNA from 1 species
CUGAUCUACCAGUACAAAAGCUGGAAUAAACCCAUAAGACGAGAAGACCCUGCGGAGCUUUUAAGCCACACGCUACAUCAAGCCAAACCAAAUAUAAAAGAUUUAAAACAAGUUUUAUAGCGUCACACUUUAAGUUGGGGCAACUGCGGAGAACAAACAAAACCUCCAUGAAACAAGGCCAAAAGCCACCAUGAAACAGACAAGUAAAUUGGUAAACAAAUUGACCCAGCACUGCUGACUACCGAACCAAGUUACCCCAGGGAUAACAGCGCCAUCCCCCUCAAGAGUCCAUAUCGCCAGGGGGGCUUACGACCUCGAUGUUGGAUCAGGACACCCAGAUGGUGUAGCCGCUAUCAAUGGUUCGUUUGUUCAACGAUUAAUGUCCUACGUGAU